CCUUGAAUCUUUGCAUGGCGCUCGGAAUCGCUGAAGGGAAUCGCUGUAUGUUGAAUGCAUGACAUCGUUCUUCUUCUGCCUCAAUGACCAAUAUUCAACCCAUGUUGCAAUUUUUUCACAUUCUAUGUUUUUGUAAACCUUUGUGGGAUUAUUGGCUGGAAGUGAAGAUCGUCGCUUGUUUGGUAGUAGCUAGAAUGUAGUUUGAAGUGAGUGCUUCGAGUUUAUUCAUUACGUUGUUUUCUGGUUGUCAAUGUUGUGAGUGAGGAGUUGGUUAACCGUCGUUGUUGGGAUGGAUUUUUUCGGGGAUGGAGUUUAGGGAUAAGAUGUGGGAGUGAAUUUUGAGGAAAACGUGGGAUUAUGAUAAGUCAACACCGAGAUGUGAGCAUGUUGAGUGCAUGAAUUAUGCAAGAAAGGAUUACAUUGAGGUUGACCUAGCCUGAGUUACAAUGCCCCUCAUCUAUGCUUGUGAUAAACAAGUCAUCGUGAGAAAGGUCAGGGGUGGGAAUGAUUGUAAUAAAGCAUUAACCAUGUAAAUUUAAAUCGAUGAAUUUAUCGAGUGCUUGCAGAUUUUUACGAAUAUAGGAUAUCUAACAGUUGAACGAGGGCGAGCACAAGAUCCGCACCUAGCCGCAGAUAUAGCAUUGAGCGCACAUGUGAAGAUCUUUGCAGUCUCCAGAAGCUCAAAAGUCUUCCUGCCUUGGAAGAACCAAUCGAGUCACAGGACAAUUGGCUCUGGUAUCUGCAAAGAAUUUUUCUUCAAUUUUUGAAGACGAGAGUGCAGCAUCAAGUUAAUUCCUUAGGGUAACCGCAGGGAUAUCACGAUCGCUACUUGGCGCUUUCACGAGUUUAUGUUUAUGAUUUUUGGUGAAGAAUUCUUGAGGCGGAACUAGUGGUGUACCCGUUUCAAGAAUUUGUUGCUGUCGUUGGAUACCCUCUAGGAUGCGGUAACAUUUCAUUUACUGAAGGCGUUACAUCUGGGGUUUAGCCAAGUUGAUAUGUGCAUGGGGCUGCUCAUCUCAUCGCUAUUCAGAUAGAAUCUGCUGUCUAUUUAGGAAACAGUGGAGGUUCUGCUCUCAAGGAGAACAAGGUGGUUGGAGUAGUCCGUAAAAACACUUCCAAAGGCAGAAAACAGAAGAUUCUCGUAAGGACUUUGCAAUCUGUAGCCCUUGAUUUGCACUUGUGUGUGGUUUAAUCGAGAUUGGUUCAAGAUGGUCGUUAUUUUCACGGGUAUGUCAUACCUGUUCCGGUCAUCAAGCGCUUCCUGGUGGACCUGAAGGAAACUGGGGGCUACGUUAGCUUUUGGUUCUUGGGUGUCACGGCCAAGUCAACUGAGAUCGUGCCACUAGGAUUGCAACCCGGCCUAACUGGCCUGUUGGUUGAGUAUGUAUCCUUGCACUGAUACCAGUGGAUGCCAUGAUAGGGAUGAUGUAAUUCUGUUUAUGGACGAUGUACCCAUUGCUUAUGACGGAAGAGGCAAUGGUUAUCCACAUGUUCGAUUACAACGUUCACGGAUUUGUCCGUUCACAAGGAGUUCGAAGUGAACCUGUGACCAUAAGAUACCAUUUGACUCCCACGAGCAAUGAUUUUGUGCAGUUGCAACAUUUGGUGCCUAUACAUCAGUUUGGCAUGUUGCUAAGGCAUUACAUUCUUGCUGACCUUGCCUUCAUACCCUUGACUGAGCCUUAUUUGCAAGAAUAUGUAAAGGAUUUCUAUAAUACAUCUCCACGGCGUCUUAGUAAGCGUCUCCCGUCUGAUUUUCCAACCAAGACCAGCCAACAAUUUUUCAUCUUCGCACAGAUGGAGAUUGAAGGCUGGCACGGGGAAUUUCUGGGACAAAAACUGAUUUGUGAAUAGCCUCAGUUCUCCUCUGUUACAGACAUGUAAGCCGCAUUCCAUCUCAUAUUUACGAAUGUUGGAGGAUUUGACCUGCUGAGUCUCAUAGACAAAAUUAAUGCUAGUUACGAAAGGUUUCAUGAAUUUCAGGUGAACAAGGUGAAUUGCGUUGAAGUUCAUGACCUAAGAUAUCUGCGUAAAACUGUACAGGAGUGUGCAGAGACGAGUAUCCGCAUUGAUUUGGAUAACGAAGUAUGAGUUUUACAUUUUCGGGCUGCAAGAGAAGCAUGUCGGAGAACUUUUCAGCGUCGUCGUAUGCCAUCACGCAUAGUCAAAGAUUUUCUGGAGGAAGAGGAUUCCAAAGGUGCAUCCUCGAGCCGGGAAGAGCCUUGGCACAACGAGAACAAAGAUUCUGAUAGGAUUCCUACUAAGGGGUGCCUGAGCCAGUGAAGCCUUCACCUUGAGCAAUGCAGAUUUUACUGAGUGAGAAUUUUCUCUUAGGCAUGUAUCCUUUUCUGUUAUCUAACAUCAUUACGGUCGUGUUCUACGACUUAAUCACAUGUCAGUCAUACGGAAUCUGCAGUACAAUUCUGGUUGAGUAUGUGAUGUCUUACGUGCACGAAAGACCGAUUUGUCCGAGGCGCGCUAACUGCCAGAGAAAUACUUGGAUAUUCCAACUGGCAAAGAAGCAUUGUUGUAUAUAUCCUCCUUAUCAGCAAUGCAAGGAUCUGAUCCCGGGAACGUGCUUUCUGUUCUGAAUUUUUCUGUGACUGACGAAGCUCUAGCUCGCUUACAUUGAAUCAAUCGUUCUGCAAGUUCUGAAACAUCUAUUGGAUAAGUUACGCAAGAAAUUGCAACAGUUUCCGAAGUGUAAGGCAGCCCUGGGGGUUCCAACACAGCUUGGUAGACUUGGAGCAAUCCAAUUGCUAACGUACAAAUACUAGGUGUCGUCAUCUUCUGCAACAUUGAAUUGAGGAGAAUACUGACGACAGUAGUACUGGUCAAGGUGUAAUGUGCAAGCUGUGCUGACCUUGAAGAAGGGAAUAUCAUCCUCCUUGCCUUAAAAACUUCAUGCUUCUAGAACUGACCUGCAGCCUUUUUUGCUCCUCAUAAUGACCUCUCCCCUCCCCUCCCCUCCUGCCACAGGUCAAGGGAGUCAAGGCAACCUGAGCUACUGAAAUCUAGUUGGGCACUGCUCUUCAAACAACAAAGACUUACUUACAAAGCAGCAAUGGCAAUGGAAUAAGCCUACAUGGCAAUCUUGUCAAUACUUGACAGUGGAUGGACAGUGAAGGAUUGAUUGAGUAAUAAGGGGAAUCCCAUGCUGGUGAGUGCUGCUUCUUCAAAGGAGAAUUAUUGUAUGCUGUUGUGAUCAUGCAACAAGCUAUUGAAACCAAAGACAAGAUUUCUAGUUUCUUGUGCCCUCCCCACUUUCAUGCCCACCAUGGUUGUGCAGACCCACCAGAGUCCAAUGUGCUGUGUGCUGGCUAGUUGUGGGGUGAACAGAAUAGCUUUUUCCAACAUAAAUAAGAAUUUAAAAGAAUAAAUGAAAUAUUAAAAUAUAAAAAGAAAAGAAAAAGAAAGAAAUGACAUUUAUUGAAGGUGUUCCAAUUUGUUUUCAUCACAAAUUGCAUUAAAGAAAGCAGAUUUAUGAGCCAGACUAGUUACUGUCACACUCACAAUGAUUCUUUGAUAAAAUAUUUUAUUAAUAAACGUUAUUUUAAAAAUAAAAUUUUGUUUUUGGUCA